AUUCCGUGUUCGUAUUGGCUUCUCUCUCUCUCUCUCUCUCUCAAGAUCCCAUCGGUGGGCUAGCUAUCGAUCUAUCAGACCGCGACCGACGACGCAGACAAGACGAAGGCAGCACGUACAGCAGGAGGAUCCAUCCACCGACUCUAUGGGAGCAUGGUUCUCUUCCCCUUGGCAGAUGCUGCUCGAUUGGAUGGCGCAGCGUAUGAUCCCAACUUCCCAAGGGCUUUACCUCCAUUUGAUGUCCCCCCUCUUGAUGCGCGUCACCCUUGCACACCAGAAGAGUUCGACGACUUGCACAUUUGCCGUCUCGGUCUCGCCCUCCAUGCCCUCAAACAUUACAACUCCAAGCACCCGGAUGCCGAGUUCUGGUCUCCUGACCAGCCCAAGGUUGCCUGCACUGGUUUCACGGAAGAUAUCUAGUACCACCUCAACUUCUCCGCCCACCGCAAGGAAGACGGCGACGAGCAGAGGUUCUUUGCUGAGCUACGCUUCGUCCAGUAUCCACGCAGACUUAUCAUCAAAUCAUGCACCAUCUUAAAAAAGCCGUUGUGCCGCUUCAAAAGCAGCUGCACCCAAGCCACGUACAACUUGGGUGUGGGAAGAAGGAGCAUGAAGAGGAACUCUACCGCGAGAGGCAUCAAUGGGACUGGGACCCACGUAGAAAGGAUUACUUCAGGAGAGAGAUGGUUGAGACACCAUUCCGGUUUGGCAGAUGCCCUAACUUCGGUGUGGAAAAGAGGGCCACGAAGAGGAACUCUACCGUGAGAAGAGUAAAUAUAGCUAGGACAGGCAUAUAUAUGUAGACUGAAUUGUUAGGAGAUGCCCUUCCAUUAAGCACCCAACCCUAGCCGCCCCUCCACCU